AGAGUUUGAUCCUGGCUCAGGAUGAACGCUGGCGGCGUGCUUAACACAUGCAAGUCGAGCGAAGCGCAUAAGUUUGAUUCUUCGGAUGAAGAUUUUUGUGACUGAGCGGCGGACGGGUGAGUAACGCGUGGGUAACCUGCCUUACACAGGGGGAUAACAGUUAGAAAUGACUGCUAAUACCGCAUAAGACCCCGGUACCGCAUGGUACAGAGGUAAAAACUGAGGUGGUGUAAGAUGGACCCGCGUCUGAUUAGGUAGUUGGUGAGGUAACGGCUCACCAAGCCGACGAUCAGUAGCCGGCCUGAGAGGGUGGACGGCCACAUUGGGACUGAGACACGGCCCAGACUCCUACGGGAGGCAGCAGUGGGGAAUAUUGCACAAUGGGGGAAACCCUGAUGCAGCGACACCGCGUGAGCGAUGAAGUAUUUCGGUAUGUAAAGCUCUAUCAGCAGGGAAGAAAAUGACGGUACCUGACUAAGAAGCCCCGGCUAACUACGUG
rnacentral:rRNA from 1 species